CCCUGAUCACUGCUUGCACAGGGAGCUGUCUCAUGAGCAUCGUCGGCGCCAUCUUGACUUUCCGCCACCUGAGCUGACUCUUUGUGUGCGUUCUGCUUCGGAGCGAAAAACUGCGUCUUGUCCGUUUUUUCUGCUUGUCUAUUUGUCUUGGGGUGAGACAUUAUAGCCGUUUUAGUUGUCAGUUGCCGUUGGUUUGUGGAGCAAUUGCUCAGUUUAGGC